rnacentral:rRNA from 1 species
ACGGUCAAAUCACGCUGAAACACCGGUUCUCGUUCGAUCACCGAAGUUAAGCAUCGUAGAGCCAGGUCAGUACUUAGAUGGGGGACCGCUUGGGAACACCUGGCACUGUAAG